rnacentral:rRNA from 1 species
CCUACGGGUGACAGCAGUGAGGAAUAUUGGUCAAUGGACGAGAGUCUGAACCAGCCAAGUAGCGUGAAGGAUGACUGCCCUAUGGGUUGUAAACUUCUUUUAUAUGGGAAUAAAAUGUUCCACGUGUGGGAUUUUGUAUGUACCAUAUUAAUAAGGAUCGGCUAACUCCGUGCCAGCAGCCGCGGUAAUACGGAGGGUGCAAGCGUUGUCCGGAAUCAUUGGGAGUAAAGAGUUCGUAGGCGGUCUGUAAAGUACGGUGUUAAAGGAGCAGGUCCAACCUGUGUAGGGCACUUGAUACGUGCAAGCUGGAAUGCGGUAGAGGUAAAGGGAAUUCCUGGUGUAGCGGUGAAAUGCUUAGAUAUCAGGAGGAACAUCGGUGGCGUAAGCGCUUUACUGGGCCGUAAUUGACGCUGAGGAACGAAAGCCAGGGUAGCAAAUGGGAUUAGAUACCCCAGUAGUC